UCCACUAGCUUCCACGGGCUUCAGAACCCUCGAGGCCCCCCUCGAGGAAUUGGUCGCCCGACUCGACUGGACACGCCGCCGCUCGACUCAGACACGCCGCCGCGACUCCUCCCCAAGUCGCCUCGACGCCGGCGAUCUCCUCCGGCAUACUAGACUUCUCCCCGGUGAUUCUUGAGGUUUCAAGUCUGUUGGAGGAAGGCUCGUCCGUCAUCAAGAGGAACUCGCUGUCAAUUCAUCUGUAGGACAACAUCAUUCUCACCCUUGCUUGGUCUGUAAAAAUAUAAUUGAUUGUGAGCUAUGAGAGAUUAUGUUGCUGUGAUGUGAUUGAUAUUGCCGUGAUGAGAUACUGAUUCCAAGUCAAGAUGUGAAGAACUGCUGUCACAUUUUUA